rnacentral:lncRNA from 12 species
AUUGCAGCAAUAACCAAGUAUUGUAUCUCAGUAUUCACCACUUGCUUUCCACAGACACUUCAUCAGCAGCAACUGCUGCAGAUCCUGGCGCUCAUCAGUGGAUGGAAUUCUCAUGGUUUCCAGUUUUCUUCCAUCAUGAAAACAGUUAUGACUCCUUGGGUUUUUUUUCUCUUGGCAUGGGAGGUGAGACACUAUGAAGAGGAAAAUCUGAAUUUAUCUGAUCGAAGUAGCAAAAAAGUACUUGGAAAGUCAGACAGACACAGACACCUCUGUCUUCCUAUUUGAAGAAGCCUAGGAAAAAGAGGUAUGGUUUAUUAUUAAGGGAGUAUGGUGGUUACCUUUAUGUCUCCACUUGGCUAGGCUAUGGUACCCAGAUAUUUGGUUAAACAUCAGUCUAGAUGUUGCUAAAGAGGUUUCUUUAGAUAUAAUUAUCAUUUUAAUCAAUAGACUGAGUAAAGUCAUAAGUAGACCUCAUCAAAUCAUUUGAAUAUCUUAAGAAAAGGACUGAAAUAUCCCUAGGAAGAACAAAUUCUGCUUCAGACUUGAAUUGCAACGUCAGUUCUCUCUGGGAUCCCUAGUCUGCUGGCCUGCUCUGCUGAAUUCUGACUUGCAACUCCCCACCGUGGCAUGAGCCAUUCCUUAAAAUAAAUUUCUUGCUGUUUCCCUCCCUUCCUCUCUC